ACAGUUCAUAUUUGUAACAUUCAUUAUUGAGAGCGGACGUGUUUUUUGUUUGCUGCACAAAAACAAAAGGUGCGAAACGUGCCAGGAUAUUUGCAACACUCGUAUUUUAGUUAAUUUGUGUGCACUCGGCAACGGGAUCAGCAGCAAAAGUGCGCGUGUUUUUUACUUGGCAGAAGCGCGGGAAUUUUGAAGCGUUAAAUGUUUGUGAAACCUCGCCAAACGCAACUUUUUUCAAAUAAGCGCGCACAAAUACAAGCACACGAGGAACGAUUCGAAUCGCCUGUUGAUUGAAAUGCAACACGCGCAACGCAAUAACAAUACCAACAAC
rnacentral:sRNA from 1 species